CUAAAUUGGAGGAGCUGCUUUAUUUCAGAGAGGGCCGAGUUUGAGGCUGAGCCUCCGGCAUGUGGCAUCUUCCAAGCCUCCUGUAGUUGAUGAAUGGAUUGAUGAAAAGUUACGCGUUUUGAUAUCAGACUUCAGAACAUGGGGAAGACUUGCUGUGCUGUCAGCAUUACCCCAGUUUUGUCAUGCCCUGAACCAAAUAGUGCUAGGGAUUUUUAGUCUCCAGCCUCUGUGGCCGUGUUUGGAG
rnacentral:lncRNA from 1 species